AAAUGAACGACCUAAAUUAAUAUCUCACGAGAUGUCUCAUUUUUGAUAUCUCACCUGAAACAUUUCCGAAUUAUAAAAGUAGGAAGAAGAAACAUUAGGUUAUGAAUCCACAAAGUCAAUGAUCUAAUUUAGAUUGUUCAUUACGUUAACGUCGGAAUUUGAAGGUUUAUCUACAAAGUCUAUCUAGCUAGUUAGUUAUUUUUGUAUAAGUUUUUUGAAUACUUAUUUUAAUACCUUUUUCAUUUAAAUAUUGAUUUUUAAGAGGUUUCUUUUUAUUUGUAUGUUAGGAGAUAAACUAAAAUGACUGAUCAAAUAGAAGGG
rnacentral:lncRNA from 1 species